UGUCUGUGUUGGAGGUGUCUGUGUUGGAGGUGUCUGUGUUGGAGGUGUCUGUGUUGGAGGUGUCAGUGUUGGAGGUGUCUGUGUCGUGUAUGUCUGUGUUGGAGGUGUCUGUGUUGGAGGUGUCUGUGUUGGAGGUGUCUGUGUUGGAGGUGUCAGUGUUGGAGGUGUCUGUGUUGGAGGUGUCUGUGUUGGAGGUGUCAGUGUUGGAGGUGUCUGUGUGGUGUAUGUCUGUGUUGGAGGUGUCUGUGUUGGAGGUGUCAGUGUUAGAGGUGUCUGUGUUGGAGGUGUCUGUGUUGGAGGUGUCUGUGUUGGAGGUGUCAGUGUUGGAGGUGUCUGUGUGGUGUAUGUCUGUGUUGGAGGUGUCUGUGUUGGAGGUGUCAGUGUUAGAGGUGUCUGUGUUGGAGGUGUCUGUGUUGGAGGUGUCUGUGUUGGAGGUGUCAGUGUUGGAGGUGUCUGUGUCGUGUAUGUCUGUGUUGGAGGUGUCUGUGUUGGAGGUGUCUGUGUUGGAGGUGUCUGUGUUGGAGGUGUCAGUGUUGGAGGUGUCUGUGUUGGAGGUGUCUGUGUUGGAGGUGUCAGUGUUGGAGGUGUCUGUGUGGUGUAUGUCUGUGUUGGAGGUGUCUGUGUUGGAGGUGUCAGUGUUAGAGGUGUCUGUGUUGGAGGUGUCUGUGUUGGAGGUGUCUGUGUUGGAGGUGUCAGUGUUGGAGGUGUCUGUGUGGUGUAUGUCUGUGUUGGAGGUGUC
ensembl:lncRNA